rnacentral:rRNA from 1 species
UACGUAGGGUGCAAGCGUUGUUCGGAAUCAUUGGGCGUAAAGCGCGUGUAGGUGGUUUGGUAAGUCUGAUGUGAAAGCCCGGGGCUUAACCCCGGAAAUGCAUUGGAUACUGCUAAACUAGAGGACGGAAGGGGGAAGUGGAAUUCCUGGUGUAGGGGUGAAAUCCGUAGAUAUCAGGAGGAACAUCGGUAGCGAAGGCGACUUCCUGGUCCGUAACUGACACUGAGACGCGAAAGCGUGGGUAGCAAACAGG